CCCGUAAUCGGAAUGAGUACACUUUAAAUCCUUUAACGAGUACCCAUUGGAGGGCAAGUCUGGUGCCAGCAGCCGCGGUAAUACCAGCUCCAAUAGCGUAUAUUAAUGUUGUUGCGGUUAAAAAGCUCGUAGUUGAAUUUGUGUUCCGCGCUGUCGGUUCACCGCCCGCGGUGUUUAACUGGCACGUCCGCGGAACGUCCUGCCGGUGGAUGCGUGGACCCUGUAUGCUUCCCCAUUGUGCGUGUGCAACUUCGGUUGUUACUGUAUGAUGUGGUGGGGUUGCAGGCGCUCUACCAUCCGACUCAAUAAUCCUGUCGCGGUGCUCUUAAUUGAGUGUCGAGGCGGGCCGGCACGUUUACUUUGAACAAAUUAGAGUGCUCAAAGCAGGCUAAAAUUUCGCCUGAAUACUGUGUGCAUGGAAUAAUGGAACAGGACCUCGGUUCUAUUUUGUUGGUUUUCGGAAACCCGAGGUAAUGAUUAAUAGGGACAGAUGGGGGCAUUCGUAUUGCGACGUUAGAGGUGAAAUUCUUGGAUCGUCGCAAGACGGACAGAAGCGAAAGCAUUUGCCAAAAAUGUUUUCAUUAAUCAAGAACGAAAGUCAGAGGUUCGAAGGCGAUCAGAUACCGCCCUAGUUCUGACCAUAAACGAUGCCAGCUAGCGAUCCGCCGACGUUCCUCCGAUGACUCGGCGGGCAGCUUCCGGGAAACCAAAGCUUUUGGGUUCCGGGGGAAGUAUGGUUGCAAAGCUGAAACUUAAAGGAAUUGACGGAA
rnacentral:rRNA from 1 species